GAUUUAAAAUCGAAGCCAGUAUUUAUUUACAGUUCACAGAUUACAGUCUAGUUUCCAGCUUGGGAAAAUCGUCUAGUAUAUUACAAAAGCAAAAGCUCUUCAAUCAAUUAAAGUUUAGAUAAAAUUUUUAUUUCAUCUUUUGCUAUUUACUCCACCAACACCACUCCAACCUUUUGCUUUCCUCCCUCAGCCAACCACCACCACUAUCUCCAAUAUCUCCAAUGAUUUAACUAUCAACUCCACCACCACUUGCUCCCCACCCAACAAAUGCAAUAUUCACUCUCAUUUCAAUUUCAUCCAAAAGUUCAGAGGAUCAAUUCCAGUUCAGCCGAAGCUCUCAAGGUAAUGCUUGGUUUCAAUGCUUUCUUCUCCUUUGAUUAAGUUCAUCCUGCAAUUGUUAAGCAAAUAAGCAAUUUAUUUCAGUUUCUAUCCACUGAUUCAAACACCACAGCAGCCAACAUCAAUUACAAGCCUAAAUUUCUCAUUGAAUUCAAUAGCAACAAACAGCCACCAACACCAAGCAUAGCAGGUAUAUACUUAGCUCAGCUCCAGUUCAUACAUCAUAUCAUCAAGCAUAUGUUUAAAAAGGAAAUACAUAGUAUACAGGUGUGUAUAUAUAUGCACACAGGGACUUAGCAAUCGAAAUCAGUUUAUGCUAUAUUUUCUUAUCACACGAGGCAAGCAAGGAAAAUUCUUGAUACAUUAGUAAACCACGAACUUAGUUUUAUCUCUUGCAUAAUACAGAAAUCAGUAUAUAUUUUCUUCACUUAAGAUAAAGGCAAUGAGAAAACUCUCAUAAAUCAGUAGCAAAAACCAAGACUCCACAUAGACUUAAGUAUUGAACUUAGCUGUAGAAGGGCUGACUGCCCGACGGGGACGGGGACGACGACGACGGUCGGGACAGGGCGAACUCGUCCAACCUCAUCAGAGCCCCGAACAGCAGCUGCCCGGCGACGAGCUGAGACUCGUGCGCAGCAGCAGCGGUCGCUCGACAGUUGCGUUUUUCCCUUUUUCUGAGAACUAGGGCCCAACGACGGA
rnacentral:lncRNA from 1 species